rnacentral:rRNA from 1 species
UACGGAAGGCAGCAAUAGGGAAUCUUCCGCAAUGGACGAAAGUCUGACGGAGCAACGCCGCGUGAACGAUGAAGGCUUUCGGGUCGUAAAGUUCUGUUGUUAGGGAAGAACAAGUACCAGAGUAACUGCUGGUACCUUGACGGUACCUAACCAGAAAGCCACGGCUAACUACGUGCCAGCAGCCGCGGUAAUACGUAGGUGGCAAGCGUUGUCCGGAAUUAUUGGGCGUAAAGCGCGCGCAGGUGGUUCCUUAAGUCUGAUGUGAAAGCCUACGGCUCAACCGUGGAGGGUCAUUGGAAACUGGGGGACUUGAGUGCAGAAGAGGAAAGUGGAAUUCCACGUGUAGCGGUGAAAUGCGUAGAGAUGUGGAGGAACACCAGUGGCGAAGGCGACUUUUCUGGUCUGUAACUGACACUGAGGCGCGAAAGCGUGGGGAGCGAACAGGGAUUAGAUACCCGU